GACGAACGCUGGCGGCGUGCUUAACACAUGCAAGUCGAACGAGAAUCUACUGAAAGAGGAUUCGUCCAAUGGAAGUAGAGGAAAGUGGCGGACGGGUGAGUAACGCGUGAGGAACCUGCCUUGAAGAGGGGGACAACAGUUGGAAACGACUGCUAAUACCGCAUGAAGCAUAGGGGUCGCAUGAUUUUUAUGCCAAAGAUUUAUCGCUUCAAGAUGGCCUCGCGUCUGAUUAGCUUGUUGGCGGGGUAACGGCCCACCAAGGCGACGAUCAGUAGCCGGACUGAGAGGUUGAACGGCCACAUUGGGACUGAGAUACGGCCCAGACUCCUACGGGAGGCAGCAGUGGGGAAUAUUGGGCAAUGGGCGCAAGCCUGACCCAGCAACGCCGCGUGAAGGAAGAAGGCUUUCGGGUUGUAAACUUCUUUUAAGAGGGAAGAGCAGAAGACGGUACCUCUAGAAUAAGCCACGGCUAACUACGUG
rnacentral:rRNA from 1 species